rnacentral:rRNA from 1 species
UAACACGUAUGCAACCUGCCCUCUUCAGGGGGACAACCUUCCGAAAGGGAGGCUAAUCCCGCGUAUAUCGGUUUCGGGCAUCCGAGAUCGAGGAAAGAUUCAUCGGAAGAGGAUGGGCAUGCGGCGCAUUAGCUUGACGGCGGGGUAACGGCCCACCGUGGCGACGAUGCGUAGGGGUUCUGAGAGGAAGGUCCCCCACACUGGUACUGAGACACGGACCAGACUCCUACGGGAGGCAGCAGUGAGGAAUAUUGGUCAAUGGGAGAGAUCCUGAACCAGCCAAGCCGCGUGAGGGAAGACGGCCCUAUGGGUUGUAAACCUCUUUUGUCGGAGAACAAAACCCGGGACGUGUCCCGGACUGCGUGUAUCCGAAGAAAAAGCAUCGGCUAACUCCGUGCCAGCAGCCGCGGUAAUACGGAGGAUGCGAGCGUUAUCCGGAUUUAUUGGGUUUAAAGGGUGCGUAGGCGGUCCGUUAAGUCAGCGGUAAAAUUGCGGGGCUCAACCCCGUCGAGCCGUUGAAACUGGCAGACUUGAGUUGGCGAGAAGUACGCGGAAUGCGCGGUGUAGCGGUGAAAUGCAUAGAUAUCGCGCAGAACUCCGAUUGCGAAGGCAGCGUACCGGCGCCACACUGACGCUGAGGCACGAAAGCGUGGGGAUCGAACAGGAUUAGAUACCCUGGUAGUCCACGCAGUAAACGAUGAAUGCUGGUUGU